rnacentral:rRNA from 2 species
AUGCAAGUCGAGCGGUAAGGCCCUUCGGGGUACACGAGCGGCGAACGGGUGAGUAACACGUGAGCAACCUGCCCCUGACUCCGGGAUAAGCGGUGGAAACGCCGUCUAAUACCGGAUACGACCCUUGGCCUCCUGGCCGGGGGUGGAAAGUUUUUCGGUUGGGGAUGGGCUCGCGGCCUAUCAGCUUGUUGGUGGGGUAACGGCCUACCAAGGCGAUUACGGGUAGCCGGCCUGAGAGGGCGACCGGCCACACUGGGACUGAGACACGGCCCAGACUCCUGCGGGAGGCAGCAGUGGGGAAUAUUGCGCAAUGGGCGAAAGCCUGACGCAGCGACGCCGCGUGGGGGAUGACGGCCUUCGGGUUGUAAACCUCUUUUACCACCAACGCAGGCUCGGAGUUUUCUUCGGGUUGACGGUAGGUGGGGAAUAAGGACCGGCUAACUACGUGCCAGCAGCCGCGGUAAUACGUAGGGUCCGAGCGUUGUCCGGAAUUAUUGGGCGUAAAGAGCUCGUAGGCGGCGUGUCGCGUCUGCUGUGAAAGACCGGGGCUUAACUCCGGUUUGGCAGUGGAUACGGGCAUGCUAGAGGUAGGUAGGGGAGACUGGAAUUCCUGGUGUAGCGGUGAAAUGCGCAGAUAUCAGGAGGAACACCGGUGGC